UUUCCGUAGGUGAACCUGCGGAAGGAUCAUUGUCGCU
rnacentral:rRNA from 1 species